rnacentral:rRNA from 1 species
UUAGUGGCAGACGGGUGAGUAAUGUAUAGGAAUCUACCUAGUAGUACGGAAUAAUUGUUGGAAACGACAACUAAUACCGUAUACGCCCUACGGGGGAAAAAUUUAUUGCUAUUAGAUGAGCCUAUAUUAGAUUAGCUAGUUGGUGGGGUAAUAGCCUACCAAGGUAAUGAUCUAUAGCUGAUCUGAGAGGAUGAUCAGCCACACUGGAACUGAGAUACGGUCCAGACUCCUACGGGAGGCAGCAGUGGGGAAUAUUGGACAAUGGGCGAAAGCCUGAUCCAGCCAUGCCGCAUGAGUGAAGAAGGCCUUUGGGUUGUAAAGCUCUUUUAGUGAGGAAGAUAAUGACGGUACUCACAGAAGAAGUCCUGGCUAACUCCGUGCCAGCAGCCGCGGUAAUACGGAGAGGGCUAGCGUUAUUCGGAAUUAUUGGGCGUAAAGGGCGCGUAGGCUGGUUAAUAAGUUAAAAGUGAAAUCCCGAGGCUUAACCUUGGAAUUGCUUUUAAAACUAUUAAUCUAGAGAUUGAAAGAGGAUAGGGGAAUUCCUGAUGUAGAGGUAAAAUUCGUAAAUAUUAGGAGGAACACCAGUGGCGAAGGCGUCUAUCUGGUUCAAAUCUGACGCUGAAGCGCGAAGGCGUGGGGAGCAAACAGGAUUAGAUACCCUGGUAGUCCACGCUGUAAACGAUGAAUGUUAAAUAUGGGGAGUUUACUUUCUGUAUUACAGCUAACGCGUUAAACAUUCCGCCUGGGGACUACGGUCGCAAGAUUAAAACUCAAAGGAAUUGACGGGGACCCGCACAAGCGGUGGAGCAUGUGGUUUAAUUCGAUGCAACGC